CUAUUUCUUGUUGUUUCUUCAAUGCUCAACUGUUCGUUAGUUGCCAAAUUCUUACAGUGUGUUAUGAUAUCAUUAGCUAUUAGUUCUGUUACUUCUGCACGGAUUGUAAACUAAAUUGCCUGUCGCGUUGAACUGACUUGCCAUUUAGCAUUUUGAUUUGCCACAUAGAGUCCCGCACAGUUAAGCACUUUUGUUUUCCUAUGUUCGGUUUCAGACUGCAUGAUUCUGGGUGACGAAGAAAAUCGAUCGGAUUCCCACUGAUAUUUCAUGAUUAUUAAUAACCAGAUUCUGACGGAUCAUGCGGUCUCUUCAGUUUAAAUAAUUGUUUGCUCAUUUGUGUGUUUGGUGUUUCAUAGGUAGACUCAUGCUUGGCACAUUAUUUGUACUUGGCACAUUAUUUGUACAUUUGUGUUGUUUUGCUAGCUUGAGAUGUGCAUGAAUCUGGGUGACGAAGAAAAUCAAUCGGAUUCCCACUGAUGUUUCAUGAUUAUUACAACCAGCUACUUCUGACAGAUCAUGCCAUCUUUUUUGAUGUGCACAUUAUUUUGUUUUUAACCGAUGGUACUACUUGCAGUACUGACUGAGGGUAAUUUUUUUUACCUCUACUUGAUUCAGUGAUUGGCCUAGUUUCAAUUGUGUGUCGUUUUAUGUUGCUUUGGGCCUGUGAUGUUAGCUAUAUAUUUGCUACUCUUGAUGGGAUUCUCUCCCACUUGAUGAUGUUAACCACCAAGAUCUCUGAGGCUUAUAGUUCUGGACUUGUA